rnacentral:lncRNA from 1 species
AGCACCCAAAUCUUUCAGCUGGGUCCUCCGAGCGUGGAGAAUGGAGUACUGCACUUAAGCCCUGCUUGCAAGAGAACAAAGCGGAGUGAUGUAAAAUAGAAAAUGAGACAAGCAAACCUUUGGUGAUUGAAGAGGAGGAAGGAAAAUGAAAGAGAAAAAGCUGAAGAGUGGGAAAAAGAUAAAAUAAAAUGAAUUUUGGGGAUUCCACUGGAGAUGGCAUGAGCUAGUUGAUAGCCUAAUCAUUUUGGGUUAGUGAUACAGAGCACAGCAGCUGCACAGGGACAAAGACUUAUUGUAUCUGACAUGUAUGGCCGGACCAGACUUUUCUGGUGCUUGGUUCCACUAUGUGCAUCAGGAACUGGUUUGGGUGAGCAGUCCAUAGUGCCACGUGUUGGGACGCAGCACGUGCCUUGCACCCAGCAUCUGCAGCACAUGCCUGGUUGGAUAUCUGAGCCAAGGGAGGAAGCGCUGCUGGAUCUGGGACCGGCUCCAUACACGAGACUUGGAGAGUCACUGCCACAGCAGGGCUGGGCUGCAGACAGAUAUCUUACUUUACAUCAGCAAAGAUCUCCUUGCACCUGGAGGAAAGCCAAGCACCGGGGAGAGAGAGCAGAGGAUGAGAUACUGCUGCACAUCAGAACGGCCUUGAAACGAAUGUCGUGUAUCCUCAGCUUUGAGAACUGAAUUCCAUGGGUUGUAAUUGAAUCCUUUGUCAGACCCAUGGGGCUCAGUUCUUCAGCUUGGAUAUUUCUGUCUUCACAUACACGGGAGAUCAAAGAAGCACUUGAUCAUGCGCUGACUCUUCCGGAUUCUGAUAGCAGCAAAUAGGAAAGAGAAAGAAUAACUGAUGUGAAUCACUCUGACAGGGAGGUUUCACUGCAAAGACCAGGCUCUCUCAUGUCGAGUAGCUGCGCAGUGAUUGAACCUCUCCGUGGCUGAUAGUCUGUCCCUGCAUUGCUGCUCGCUGGUUAAUUCAACUCUCCUCUCAGUUUUAUCGAAGUUACAUAUCAAGUGCUGAGAUGAUGCUGACUGACUUAUGCUUCCCAAAAAUUGUGUGGUGCUGCUGAAUGUGGCUCUGCUCCCACAUGGGACCAGCAACACCCCAGCCCUGCCAAGUCUACCCACUGUUGGUCUGCUGCAGCCUCCUGUCUGGGAUCACUGCUGCACAGCUACUGUUUGCUCUUUUUUGGCCCCCUUGAGGUGGACCCAUUCAAGUUGUGGGCUGAAAAAGUUUGUGUUUCUUCCUUGGAAGAUCUGUGUUAAAGUUUAUUUUCUUUCAGGCGUCAGGAAAAUAAAAUUUAUGGUCUUCAAACAUGUAAAGAGGUAUAAUUACCAACGAGAUUUCUACUUCAUUCCUGCAAUAAUAACCCUUCCUAAAUUACAUUUUUCAAACUCAGUAAAAUGGAUCAGUCACUGAUCUCAUCCCUGUGGUGCAAUGCUGUUAAAAGCACAGGAAUAUUAAAAUCCCACAGGUGCAGGAGGAGCGUGUUCAGCUAAGUAGUUUAAAGCUGCUGUGUGCCUUUUAUUCUGAAAAUGUAUUUACACUAAAAAUAAUCAGAUGUAAUCACUGUUGCCUGUGGAUACAGAUGUACCUUUGUACCGAUGUGCUUUUCAUAUAAAUUUUAUUCCAGGGUUUGAAGGGUUUCUUUGUGGCUGUCUGAAACAUAUCAUGCUGCCCAGUUGUGAGACGACGGAUCUUGGAAGGACUCACCAGUCCCACCAGCUCCUGCUGGGAGAUAUCCAUUAAACAAGAAGAAGGAGAAACAUACACAAACGAAAGCGAAAUUCUGAAGUUUCAUUUCUGCUGUACACCCUGUCAAAGAGAGGGAAUUAAAUUGGAGGUGAGAGUUAGCAAAAUCUGCAAAAGAAGAGAGUGAGGUAGCAGCUGCACAGAAUGCCCGAGGCGGGCAUCUGCUGGCAGGGCUGCAGCAGCCACCUCUGGGGCAAAGUCCAGCCUGCAGGCACUGAGGCAGCACAGGGGAUGUGUGUGUGAUGGCAGCCUCACAAGGCCACGGAUGAAAUCAAGAUAGCCUUUGGUACGGCAGUUUUGCAGUCCUAUCCCUAAAGCACAGUGUUUGUAACGCUGGUUUUGCUCAGCAAUUUACCAUAAGUUGUGAACUAACAAUAGUACUGCUGGUGUCUAGCUGGAAGUACUGGAAUUUCUAGUCAGCUCUUAAAUCCAGCCUGCCCUCCAGCCCUCUGUGCUGACCACUCUGUGUGCUCUUCCUUUGCUGUGGGCUCCUGUAGUCCUUUUGAUCCUCCCUUGCCCAACAUGACACAGCAUUCUCUUUCUGGAUACUCCUGGGAUCUUUUCUUUAAACCGCCCGGUUAAUCUUUCAAGAGCACUCCUGCAGAAUUAAAAUUAUUUUUAACACGUGGCUUCAAACCAACGUGCCUUCUGCCUGCCUACCUGCACAGCCUUGCAGUACACACACAGACCCCUCUGCAGUCUGAGCCAGGCAAUGCUCAGGCACCCCAGCAUGCCCAGGACCUGUGCUGCGAUUCCCAGUGUGCCCCCAGGUAUGCGAAGUGCUGGUUGAUAUGAUACCCAAAUUCUCUCAGCUUCUCCUGUAUCCAGGCUUAUGAAACUGACCUCUUUAAUUCAGGCCUCCUCCUGUUUAAUUUCAGAGUGAAAUGUUGAUUUGUCAUUGUAAUUUUUUUUUUCUCUUUACAGAGUCAUUCAGGUGAAUUCAGCUGUAUUCGUUGCUGCUGUAAACUUGAAACUCAAUUUUGGGCCAAGUAAAGCAUUUGCUAG